rnacentral:rRNA from 1 species
UUUCUAUCUAUAUUAAAGCUUAUUCUAGUAGGAAAGGACCGAAAAAGCAUGGCCCCUGCCUAAAGCAAACCAUCAUUAAAAAUUCCUGCCCACAACUUAACUAAUUAUUAAUCUAUCACGUUUUUCAAGAUCAGAAA